CUAUAAUUCUGUCGUGCCAAACUUGAUCAGGUAGGCACCGCUAUAUCACCUGGGAAGAGUUACUUUUUGCAAUGCAGGUUUAUUUUUCUGUAUUGUUGCGAGGGAAUAGACAAUUUAUAGCCUUAAAUUAAAAAUUAAAGCUGCAUUUGCAUAGUAUUAACAUCUGCAGAAAAUUCAUGAUAGAGUUGCAGAUGGUGGAUUAGGAC
rnacentral:misc_RNA from 1 species